CCUACGGGUGGCAGCAGUGGGGAAUAUUGGGCAAUGGGCGAAAGCCUGAUCCAGCAAUGCCGCGUGUGUGAAGAAGGUCUUCGGAUUGUAAAGCACUUUCGACGGGGACGAUGAUGACGGUACCCGUAGAAGAAGCCCCGGCUAACUUCGUGCCAGCAGCCGCGGUAAUGCGAAGGGGGCUAGCGAUGCUCGGAAUGACUGGGCGUAAAGGGCGCGUAGGCGGUUUAUGCAGUCAGAUGUGAAAUCCCCGGGCUUAACCUGCGAACUGCAUUUGAGACGCAUAGACUAGAGGUCGAGAGAGGGUUGUGGAAUUCCCAGUGUAGAGGUGAAAUUCGUAGAUAUUGGGAAGAACACCGGUGGCGAAGGCGGCAGCCUGGCUCGUUACUGACGCUGAGGCGCGAAAGCGUGGGGAGCAAACAGGAUUAGAUACCCGAGUAGUC
rnacentral:rRNA from 1 species